AAGACUAUACUUUCAGGGAUCAUUUCUAUUGUUUGUUACUAGAGAAGUUUCUCUGAAUGUGUAAAGUUUUUAAAAU
rnacentral:snoRNA from 1 species